AUUGAACGCUGGCGGCAUGCCUUACACAUGCAAGUCGAACGGCAGCACGGGAGCAAUCCUGGUGGCGAGUGGCGAACGGGUGAGUAAUAUAUCGGAACGUGCCCAGUCGUGGGGGAGUAACGUAGCGAAAGACUACGCUAAUACCGCCAUACGAUCUAUGGAUGAAAGACGGGGGAGUCGCAAGACCUCGCGCGAUUGGAGCGGCCGAUAUCAGAUUAGGUAGUUGGUGGGGUAAAAGGACCUACCAAGCCUUCGAUCUGUAGCUGGUCUGAGAGGACGACCAGCCACACUGGGACUGAGACACGGCCCAGACUCCUACGGGAGGCAGCAGU
rnacentral:rRNA from 1 species